rnacentral:rRNA from 1 species
AUACGGGGGGUGCAAGCGUUAAUCGGAAUUACUGGGCGUAAAGCGCGCGUAGGCGGUUUGCUCAGUCGGAUGUGAAAGCCCAGGGCUCAACCUUGGAACUGCAUACGAUACUGGCAAACUAGAGUGUGAGAGAGGAUAGUGGAAUUUCCGGUGUAGCGGUGAAAUGCGUAGAUAUCGGAAGGAACAUCAGUGGCGAAGGCGACUGUCUGGCUCAACACUGACGCUGCGGUGCGAAAGCGUGGGUAGCAAACAGGAUUAGAAACCCUAGUAGUCC